rnacentral:rRNA from 1 species
GACGAACGCUGGCGGCGUGCCUAAUACAUGCAAGUCGAACGCAAAACUUUCACCGAAUGCUUGCAUUCACGAAAGUUUUGAGUGGCGAACGGGUGAGUAACACGUGGGUAACCUGCCCAGAAGAGGGGGAUAACACUUGGAAACAGGUGCUAAUACCGCAUAAUAACAAAAACCGCAUGGUUUUUGUUUGAAAGAUGGUUUUGCUAUCACUUCAGGAUGGACCCGCGGCGUAUUAGCUAGUUGGUAAGGUAAAGGCUUACAAAGGCAAUGAUACGUAGCCGAACUGAGAGGUUGAUCGGCCACAUUGGGACUGAGACACGGCCCAAACUCCUACGGGAGGCAGCAGUAGGGAAUCUUCCACAAUGGACGAAAGUCUGAUGGGGCAACGCCGCGUGAGUGAAGAAGGUUUUCGGAUCGUAAAACUCUGUUGUUAGAGAAGAACGUGUGUGAGAGUAACUGCUCAUGCAGUGACGGUAUCUAACCAGAAAGCCACGGCUAACUACGUGCCAGCCGCCGCAGUAA